rnacentral:rRNA from 1 species
UACGGGGGGGGUAAGCGUUGUUCGGAAUUACUGGGCGUAAAGGGCUCGUAGGCGGCCAACUAAGUCAUACGUGAAAUCCCUCAGCUUAACUGGGGAACUGCGUGUGAUACUGGAUGGCUUGAGUUUGGGAGAGGGAUGCGGAAUUCCAGGUGUAGCGGUGAAAUGCGUAGAUAUCUGGAGGAACACCGGUGGCGAAGGCGGCAUCCUGGACCAACACUGACGCUGAUGAGCGAAAGCCAGGGGAGCAAACGGG